GACGAACCGUGCGAACGUUGUUCGGAAUCACUGGGCUUAAAGGGCGCGUAGGCGGCUUGCCAAGUCAGGGGUGAAAUCCUGCAGCUUAACUGUAGAAGGGCCUUUGAUACUGGCGAGCUCGAGGGAGGUAGGGGUAUGUGGAACUUCCGGUGGAGCGGUGAAAUGCGUUGAUAUCUGGAGGAACACCGGUGGCGAAGGCGGCAUCCUGGACCGGUAUUGACGCUGAGGCGCGAAAGCCAGGGGAGCAAACGGG
rnacentral:rRNA from 1 species